UACGUAGGGUGCGAGCGUUGUCCGGAAUUAUUGGGCGUAAAGAGCUUGUAGGCGGUUUGUCGCGUCUGCCGUGAAAAUCCGGGGCUCAACCCCGGACUUGCGGUGGGUACGGGCAGACUAGAGUGUGGUAGGAGAGACUGGAAUUCCUGGUGUAGCGGUGAAAUGCGCAGAUAUCAGGAGGAACACCGAUGGCGAAGGCAGGUCUCUGGGCCACUACUGACGCUGAGAAGCGAAAGCGUGGGGAGCGAACAGG
rnacentral:rRNA from 1 species